CUCCAUACCUUAGCCCAAACUCUCAGUGUGCAACGGAUCAACUUAGAAGGUACCAGUGGCUUGAAAAGAGCAAGACCCUGCUUCCCUAGGGGAGGAAAGCCUGGCUGUGCUUUUGCAAAUUUCCCAGCACAGCCUCACUUUCUCAGCCUAACCAGCUCCCUGGAGUCCCCAAGAUGAAAGCUGCCAGGCUUUUCAGGGUGCUGCAUGGACUAGCUCCAAGAUUCUCGGCUCCCAGUAGGGGUGGCAACCCCUUCCUCAUGGAGCUCAGAAGUGCCCCGUCCUAUGUGAGCUCCAGGAGCACUGAACAAGCGGGAGGGUUUGGUUUGAUUCCUUACUGAGCUCAGCACCAUGGGACUUUCCAGAAGAUAUUCUUGAGUUUCAGUUCACAGCCCAUUGGAUUUCACUUCAACCUGAAAACUCACAGGGAAGGUCAGCUGAAACAACCGAGUCUGGGCACUCUCCCCUUAGAACUGUCAAUCACACUGCCGCCACCAAGGACAGGAGGUGGUGAGCCGAGGAACUCGGCCUCUCCUGACCUGGUUUACCCCAAGUGUGUGUGAGAGUUGUGGGGGCACAAGCUGGAAAGGGCAGGACUUUUCGUUUCACACCUGCUUGGGUUUUCCUUAUGAAACGUUUCCAUCAUUGACGCUGAGGUGUUUCCUUAAACCGCGACUCCACCUGAUGUAAACAGGCUGCCAAUACAGGCCCGAGUGAAUGUUAAUAACCACUUAGGGGCACUAUAUAUGGGCCAAGUACUGCACUGAGCCCUUGACUUUCAUUUUUCCACGUGAUCCUCCAAGUAAAACCCCAUGAGCUAGGUGCCAUUAUCAUCAGCAUUUAAUAGAGGAGGAAACUAAGCUAGAAACUUAGCACAACUGGGAUGUAAACCCAGGGCCUAACCUUAGGAAAUUAACUUCUGAAGGCAAAGAAAGGUAUGUAUCUUGAGGCAAAUAGUAUGAGAUUCCUGUGGGCUCCUAGGUAGGAAUCAGUUGGGAAAAUAACUUUUCUGAAGCAGCUAUGCCCGUAACAGA
ensembl:lncRNA